rnacentral:pre_miRNA from 1 species
UAAUGAUGAUGAUGAUGAUGUUGUUGAUGAUGAUGAUGAUGAUUAUGAGUAUUAUCAUCAUCUUCAUCAUCAUCAUCUUCAUCCUCAUCAUAAUCAUCAUCAUCAUCAACGUCAUCAUCAUCAUCAUAA